AAAAAAUUGUUGACGUGAAUUAAUAGGAUUAACUAGCUUUCAGAAACCAAGUGGGUGCUGUGAACUUGGAGCUAGAAGAUUACGAACUUCUCACUGAAAUUUAACUGAAAUAAGUAAGUUAAACGUUUUCCGCGUUAUGGAAUUUGAGAGUCUAGAUGUUUUUCAUCUAGGAAUUUAGGUGGUACCGCGGAAAUUCGUCCUAUGG
rnacentral:ncRNA from 1 species